AAGUAUGUCUCUGCGCUCAAAAGAUUUUCAAAUUUGCAAUUUAGGAAAAUAGAAUGUUUGUUCAACUCUCAUGUGCUUGGAAAAAACAAUCCUGAAAUCGGUUUGCAUGGGAUGAGUUCUGGACAUUUGAAUUUUAUAUUGUCUCUAUGAUAGCUAGUAGUUGUUGGCAAAUAUGAGUCUCAUUGGCAUUGGUUACUAACUGCUUGUUCCAAUUCCUCACAAAUUGGCAGGUAUAAAAACCCACCACCCGAGUGGUCAGUUUUCCGGGAAGCAAGUUUUGGUCAUGGUGAGCUGAAUAUAGUGAAUUCAACCCAUGCCUUUUGGACCUGGCAUAGGAAUGAUGACGACGAGCCUGUUAGGUCCGAUCAGGUCUGGAUAACCUCGUUGGUUAGUUCAGGAUGUGUUGCUGAGAAGACACUUGAGUUAACGAAGAUACUUACGGAACCAUAGAGCUUGUAAUCACAUGAAGUUUGUCUCUCUUCUGGUUGGCGUGUUCGUAAAAUUGGCUUUCUGCAGUUCGAAUGUGCAAGCUCUUCUGUGUAGGCGUCAAACUUUAUGCAUGUACCAUAUAUGGUAGAACUUUCCCCUUAGUGUGUGUGUAUAUAUAGCCAAAAGCAAGCAUGCAAAGUGGCACAAAGCUAACAAGAUGGCAAUGGCAAUUAUGAGGAACGCAAUAAAUGAAACUGUUGGAAUACCAAAGUCUGACAAGGCCAAAGAACUAUUGACCACCAUUGGAGAUAAGUUCAAAUUGUCUGAAAAGGCUGGACUGGAAGCCAAUUCACCAAACUCACCUCUAUGAAAUUCGAUGGUAAUGGGAGUGUGAGGGAACACAUAUUGAAGAUGUCAGACAUUGCAUUGAAACUAAAAAAACCAAUUCAUCAAGGAUCUGUGAACCUUUUGAUGGUGGUUGAUACAAUUCACAGAUCCUUGAAACUGUUUUGUGACAACAAAGCAGCUGUGUUUUUCUCAAAGAACAACAAAAGAUCAUUGGAUUGCCGGCUCAUGGACAUGCAAUAUUUGAAAGUCAGAGAUGAAGUGGGAAAGAUGACAGUUGACAUUGAACACAGUUGCACAUACAACAUGCUGGCCGAUCCCAUGACAAAAGCUCUACCAGUGGGAGUCUUCAAGAAGCAUGUUCAUGGAAUGGGAGUUUAUGAGACUUUUGACUCUGCAAAUGAGGGGGAGUAAAAAUUUGAUCAUUUCUUGCUUGACUAUUAAACUCAUUUCAAUUAAAUAAACUGCCAUGAUGCUUUGUUAUGUUUCAUAUGAGUAACCAUUGUAGACAAAUUCAAGUGAGAUAAAAGCUUAUGCUUAAAACUUAAACUGGUAUUUUGCUAAUCAGACCCAUACACCUUGGCAUUAUCUGCAAUCAUUUACUGAAACCAAGCAUACAUGUAAUUAUGGAACAAAAGUGCAGAAAGAUAUGCACUCGAGUUUCCAUAGUUCUGUGCUCAACUUCAGUGGUGAUUGUUUCAUGAGGAAAACUAAUGUGACGUUAGCUCAGCGAUCACCAUGAUUCUUGUUGCAAUUGAAUUAAAAUCACUUGACACCCAAAGUGGGAUAAUGUAAGAUUAUAUUGGCUUGUCAAGUAUUGUGUCACUGAUCAUACAAAAGGAAAGUUACUUACUAGGCAAGUAAUUUUUCCUAACGUAUGAUUGAAUAAACAAUUGGCCAGGAUCAUGGAGCUAAUGAACAUUGGUUGACUUUUGUAAAACCUAAAUUAUGCAAUAUAUCAUGCACAUGCCUUGGUGGGACAAAUUAAGGAAUAAAUGGUGAUUAGGUGUAUCAAUCCAAUUACUAUGAUAGGGGUCGAAUCCUAAUAUGAAGAACAAGUGACCUCAAGCUGGCUACAACACUCUUGAUUAGCCACCUUAACCGCAUACUUGUAAUGACCAUUUUGCUCGUCAAGGAUUGGUGUAGAACUCCCAUCAACAAAGUUCUCAUUGACUUCUUCAUCAUCAUCAACGUACUUAUCAUAAAUUGGCGGGUAAUUUCAAUCGACUGAGCUAGUCUCUUCAACCACUUGAUAUUCCAACGGAUGUAAAAUCUCACCCAUGACCUUCAUACGCAGCGGAAAACCUGCUCUGAUGCCACUUGAUGCAGUAUCUUAGGGAAACGGGGAUAGAACCCGAGAAUCGCUCAAGCAAGGACAACAGAGCUCGCUCGACGUUACUAAUCGUGGAUUCUCUCACACGACCAAGCCUAACGCUUGAUUUGAGAAGGAGAAAAACUUGAUGCAGUAAAAACCAAGGAUCUUGAAGAGAAGGGGGAUAGAUGACCUGAGAUUCACUCAACAAAGGCAAUAGAAUUUCCUUGACCUUGUUAAUCACUUAAUCGCUCAACACGACCCAGCCUAACACUUGAUUUAGAAGGAGGAAACACUCACUUCAACUGCACAAAGAAAAAUGUAUUUUUUUUUAAUCUAGUCUCCCAAAUGCUUGGAUUACAUCAUAAUUUAAUGAAUGUAAAGAUAAAGGAAGCAUAAAUGAAUUAUAACUUCCUAAAAGACUCUCACCAUAUUUUAAAUGGACUUAAAAAAAUUCUAAGAGUAACUUCAAUGGAAGUCCCUAUAGCUAUCCUUACCACCGUAUUUCUCUAAAUUUAAGGACUUAGUGACUUCCAAUGGGUCGGAAUUACAAUCUCUAUAGCAUAGGGACUAUCGGGAGUCCUAAAAAAUUUCCUCACAAUUGAGGACUGCUUAAGGACUCUCAAAUGGGGUAAAACUUGGAAGUAUUACAAGUUUCUCUCCGAGGUGAGAGUUCUCUCCACACUAAGAGUCCUUCUCAUUGUUUGUGUGAGACUUUUAAACCUAAGCUUUUCUGGUGGCAUCGGCCCUAGCUUCGGUUGGGGUUGAUUAUCGUGUCCUCUGGUCUCCCUUUUCCUUCUUUUCUCAUUGCCUCUACUGUUGUUCUCCCAAAUUUUAACUUUGGCAUGUCCAAUUCCUUAAUCCCCAAAGGUAUUCAUCAUCCCAGUUAUCCCUUGGUUCGAUCUUCAGCCAUAUUUCCUAUUGAGAUCGUGUGUAGAGUUCUGAUGUUUACACCAACUCUGGUGUUUCCAACAACAUCACUUUCUCUGUUAUCUACCGGUUUUGACAGUGUCGCUCGUGGGUUUCCACAAGCUUCAUACUAGUAGUUGGCUUCUCUCACUCUGUUGCCGACUAUCCCCUGCUUAUGGUUGUGCUCAUGUAGGUUUUCGGAGUUAGAGGUGGCUUCUAGUGAGGCAUUAUUCGGAGGUGGUGGACUGGAAUUCGCUUGGAUGGACUGGAAAGCUAAUGGUGGAGAAGACAGUGGAAGCUUCUCGGUUUCUUGGCUGCUGUGCAAGUCUAUGGGACUUACUGUUUUCGUGGGUCAUUUUAUGUUUGUAUUUAGUCUAAGACCCUUGGUUUUUUUGUUAAAAGGUGUUUGUUGGGCCUUGUUUUGCUUGUAAAUUUGUGAUGGUUGUUUAAUAAUAAUAAUAAUAAUUUUUUUUUUUGUUUUAAAAAGGACUCUCAAAUGUGUUAGGCACCAUGUUAAAUUUGAAUAAGGUUGAAGUCCCUGGAAAUGGAUCCUCUCCGAAUCCAUUAUAUGGGGAUCCUAAGGAUUCUCAUAUCUCAGUCGCUCAUCGUGUAUCGUGCGGUCAUAAAUCAUUUGACUUCGGAGAGGAUCUGUGAUCGAACUCUAAAACACUCUGCAGCUUCCAAUGUUGCAGGUCACAUUACUUUUUCUUUUGUUGGUCAAUGGGAAAUCAACGGUUGUGCUAGCUUUUUGAGAUUUUUUUUGCUUUUUAUUGUUUAAAUCAAUGGUUGUCAAAUUAACAAUAACGUUUUAGUCUUUUGGUCCCUAUAUUUAAGGACUAUACUAAAAGAUCAUCUCCAACUCUUAGGUUAAAAUCUAAAAUUUUUAAUGCAAAAGAUUUAGGUUUUAACCCGAAACAGUUUUUUUUGCUCCACCAUUCUAGGUUAAAUUUUUAGUCCGAGAUUAUUAAAGAAUGAAUUUAAGAUAAUUUUUUUUUCUUAAAGUAACUGUUUUUUAAAAACAAAAUUAUGUAGAUUAUCAUAAUUUAAUUUUAUGAACAUUUUAACAUAAAAAUAUUUAGAUUCUGAUAAAUAUUGAAAAAUCACUAAAUUCACACCUUAAAACUCGUGGAAUACUAUAAAAGAAUAUGAAACAUAUGAAAGAAUUUUGUUAAUUAUUUAGUCGUUGGAUUUAUAUAUUUGGACAAUUAUAUUUUUUUUUACCGUUGGAUUUGAUCAUAUUAGAUUUGUAACAUCCCACAUCGCCCAGGGGAGUAAUCCUUAAAUGUAUAUUCUUAUCCCUACCUAGCACGAGGCCUUUUGGAAGCUCAUUGGCUUCGGGUUCCGUAGGAACUCCGAAGUUAAGCGAGAAUGAGGUCAGAGCACUCUCAUGAUGGGUAACCCACUGAGAAAUUGCUCGUGAGUUCCCAAAAACAAAAUUGUGAGGGAAUGGUAAGCCCAAAGCGGACAAUAUCGUGCUACGGUGGUGGAACGGGCUCGGAGUGUGGUGGACCCGGGCAGGGAUGUGACAAAUGCUAUCAGAGCCAAUCCCUGGCCGGAAGUGUACCGACGAGGACGUCAGGCCCCUAAGGGGGGUGGAUUGUAACAUCCCACAUCGCCUAAGGGAGUGAUCCUUUAAAUGUAUAUUCUCAUUCCUACAUAGCACGAGGCCUUUUGGGAGCUCACUAGCUUCGGGUUCCGUAAGAACUCUAAAGUUAAGCGAGAAGGAGGCCAGAGCACUCUCAUGAUGGGUGACCCGCAGGGAAGUUGCUCGUGAGUUCCCAAAAACAAAACCGUGAGGGAAUGGUAAAACCAAAGCGGAUAAUAUCGUGCUACGGUGGUGAAACGGGCCCGGGAUGUGGUGGACCCGGGCCAGGAUGUGACAAGAUUUCAAUCUUUGGAUUUAAUUAAUUUGUAAAUAUAAAAUUAAAAAAAAAAGUACACAUAUAUGGUCGGCCAAACUACUAACCCAAAAGACAUUCUGAGCUAAAUUUGCCUCAAAAAUGAAGUUUUGGGUUAAAACUCAUAUUUGGCCCAAGGGUUGGAGCAAGUUGGGGUAGGUUUAGAACCUAAAAUUUGAGUUUUACUCCAAAUGUUGGAGUAGGUCUAAGGACACUCCCAUUCGAGCUAAUUUUAUUUUAGGUACAUGAAUAUUCCUUAAAGUCCCUAAAUAAAUCAUCAAAAGUGGUAGUUGGAGUCCCUAAUUUUCUUUCGAGUAAAUUGUAGCAAUAAUUCCUUAACUUUAACUCAAUUGGAGCAAUGGUCCCUCAACUAAAAAUCCAUUACCAUUGGUCACUCAACUCAUCAAAACGUGCAUAUGUGGUCUCUCAAUUAAAUAUCUAUUACCAUUGGUCCCUCAACUUUAAUCCAACUGGAGAAAUGGUUCCUCAAAUUUAACUCAAUUGUAGCAAUGGUCCUUCCAACAUAACUCAUUUUGACAAAAUUCUAAUAAAGUUGACGAAAAUGACCAUAACUACACGCUUUGAUGAGUUAAGGGACCCCAAUUGUAGCAAUGUCCAACAUAACUUAUUUUGAUAAAAUUUUGACGAAGUUGAAGAAAAUGACUAUAGCUACACAUUUUGAUGAAUUGAGGGACCAAUAGUAAUAUAUUUUAAAUUGAGGGACAUUGCUCCAAUUUGAUUAACGUUGAAGGACCAUUGCUAAAUUUACUCUUUUCUUUUAUGUACAUGAAUAUCAGAGAUGCUCUAAGUUAUAAAAGUGCAUUGUCAUUAUUAUUACAAUUCCAAAUGAAUCCUCAAAAGUGGUAGUUGGAGUCCCUAAUUUUCUUUCGAGUAAAUUGUAGCAAUAAUCCCUUAACUUUAACUCAAUUGGAGCAAUGGUCCCUCAACUAAAAAUCCAUUACCAUUGGUCACUCAACUCAUCAAAACGUGCACAUGUGGUCUCUCAAUUAAAUAUAUAUUACCAUUGGUCCCUCAACUUUAAUCUAACUGGAGAAAUGGUUCCUCAAAUUUAACUCAAUUGUAGCAAUGGUCCUUCCAACAUAACUCAUUUUGACAAAAUUCUAAUAAAGUUGACGAAAAUGACCAUAACUACACGCUUUGAUGAGUUAAGGGACCCUAAUUGUAGCAAUGUCCAACAUAACUUUGUAGACAUCGAAAUUUCGGUAAAUAAAUGUUGACCAAUAAAUCAAAGUGUCAACGCUCAUGUAUUACAUAAAUUUUACACGUAGCAUGUGACUCAACGAAAAUUGAAAUGAGUUGGAAAAGUCAUCAAAUAAGACACGUGUCAACACCUGGCAGAAACGACUUAUUUCAUCUGGGAUAUUAUAUUCAAAAUUAGGCCUUGGAAAAUUCUAUAAAUACAAGCCCAUUUCAUUCAUUUGGAGGAGGAAUUCAUAUUACACCUUGAAGCUCUGAAGCUCUGAAACUCCGAAGCUCUUAAGCAUCUAGGUUCCCGAAGAAUCAAGAAAGCCUUCUUCGUUCUUCGUUCAUCGUUCUUCCAAGAUCAAGCCCCGACGGCCUUUGGAUCAACAAUCAUCCACCAAUUCAAGAUCAAGCCCCGACGGCCCUUGAAGAAAGUGUUCUUCGUUCUUCGUUCAUCGUUCUUCCAAGAUUAAGCCCCAACGGCCCUUUGGAUCAACAAUCAUCCACAAAUUCAAGAUCAAGCCCCGACGGCCCUUGAAGAAAGUGUUCUUCGUUCUUCGUUCAUCGUUCUUCCAAGAUCAAGCCCCGACGGCCCCUUGGAUCAACCAUCCACCAAUUCAAGAUCAAAGCCCCGACGGCCCUUGAAGAAAGCAUCAUCGUUCAUCAUCCGUUCAUCCAAGAUCAAGCCCCAACGGCCCUUUGGAUCAACAACGUCGACAAAUCCACAAAUCCAACCGUUCUUCAAGAUCAAGCCCAAAACUCCUUGAAGAUCCGUUCAUCACUGUUCUUCAAGAUCAAGCCCAAAAGCCCUUGGAGAUCCGUUCAUCACUGUUCUUCAAAGAUCAAGCCCAAAAGCCCCUUUGAAGAUCCGCUCAAAUCCACCUUCAAGAUCAAGUCCACGGCCCUUGAAGAACGUUCAUCCUUAGAUCAAGCCCAACGGCCCUUUGGAUCAAUCACAUCGACAAAUACACACCUUACGGAGAUCGAAUCAGAGGAUCAAAAUAGAGAGAGAUUGUAACCCAAAAUCAUCAAAUCCAAAUAUUUGUUUGUGCGCGUUUGUUCUUGUCUCUUUCGUUUCAGGAAUUUUCCGUGUUCACAAAUUGGCACGCCCAGUGGGACAAUCUCUGCCUCUCAUCUCUUUCUCCGUUCAAGAAAUUCAAGCGCACUUCUAAAAUUAAUGGCAUCAAGGAAGGCUCAAACUGUUCCCGCAACCGGCGCAAAGAACAAAAACGUCCUCGUCGCAACUGGUGUCACUUUGGGCAUCACGACUCGAAGCAUGGCAAGAGCUACUUCUGCCGCCUCUUUCACCUCCGCAUCAACUCUGCCAAGGGAACAAAAGCACCCAAGACACGAGCCUUUGAUCACCUUAGCCUCACUAAGGGCACCAAGGGGGGAAAGCCCAAGGAAAUACUCCGAAUCCAUGCUCUCCGAUGCCGAUUCAAGCGACAGUUCAGCCAUGCAAGUCAUGACCAUUGGAGCAACUUCAAUCGAUGAGCAGCUGGCUCAAAUGAAUGAAGCAAUCGCAAGGCUAACCCGAACUGUGGAAGAAAAAGACUUGCAAAUUGCAGCACUAGUCAACCGAUUGGAGGCGCAAGACGGCGAUAAACCCGACCCAGAGGAUGAUCCACUAAAGGGAGGAGCUGGCGGAGACGAAGAACCCCCGGUGAAGAAAAUCGAUGGGAAGCCGGAGCCAGACCAAGCAGUGGCACUCAUGGGAUCUCUUUCUAUCCAGCAGCUGCAGGAGAUGAUCACCAACACCAUCAAGGCACAGUACGAAGGGAGCUCACAUACCUCAUUGUUCUACUCGAAGCCCUAUUCCAAGAAGAUUGAUGCCCUAAAGAUGCCAAGGGGUUAUCAACCACCAAAGUUCAUGCAGUUUGAUGGAAAAGGAAACCCAAAGCAGCAUGUUGCACAUUUCGUCGAAACUUGCAACAACGCAGGGACGGAGGGAGACUACCUCGCCAAGCAGUUUGUGCGCUCGCUGAAAGGAAAUGCCUUUGAGUGGUACACGGACCUAGAGAGCCUGAGUCCAUCAACAGCUGGGAGCAAUUAGAACGGGAAUUCCUCAACCGCUUCUACAGCACCCGCCGCACUGUGAGCAUGCUAGAGCUAACGAGCACAAAGCAGUGGAAGGACGAGCCAGUCAUUGACUACAUCAACAGAUGGCGCACUCUAAGCCUCGACUGUAAAGACAGGCUCUCGGAAACCUCUUCAAUCGAGAUGUGCAUCCAAGGCAUGCAAUGGGGUUUGCAAUACAUCCUUCAAGGCAUUAAACCGCGGACCUUCGAGGAAUUGGCCACUCGCGCCCAUGACAUGGAGUUGAGCAUCGCCCAUCAUGGGAAGAAAGAACCGAUCGCCGACUACAAGAACGACAAAGCUCUUGGGAUAAAGGUGGAAAAGGCUGCAUGGAAACCCACCAAGGAAGUGAUGACGGUCAACACAUCUCCCGUCAAAAUAUCCACACGAGGCAAGGCAAUUCAAGCCGAAGGCUUUCGUGAUCAAGAGAUGCGUAGACGCACUUUGAAGGAGCUCGAGGAGAAAACUUAUCCAUUCCCCGACUCUGAUGUGGUUGCCAUGUUAGAAGACUUGCUGGAAAAGAAGGUGAUCGGCUUGCCUGAGUGCAGACGGCCAGAAGAGAUGAAUCGUACCGACAGUCCAAGAUACUGUAAAUUCCACCGCUUCAUCAGUCAUCCGACAGAAAAGUGCUUCGUGCUGAAAGAUCUCAUCAUGAAGCUGGCUCAGAAAGGAAUCAUCGAGCUAGAUCUUGACGAAGUGGUGAAGUCAAACUAUACCACCUUCACUUUUGGCUCUUCCAACUCAAAGUUUUCACCUCAACCGCUGGGGGCAUCCUCAAAGACAAGCAAAGUUGAAGGAUGGACUCAAGUCACUCCUAAGAAAUUGCACAAGAAGCAUACGUCUCCUCCACAAGUCCGCCAAUCGGAAAGGGGGCAAAGCAGCUAUUGUCAACCUUCAAAGCAACGUGAACGUGUUGAAGAUGAUGAAAUUUCGACACAUAGAUCGUCCAUCCCCAUCACGAUGCGCGAUUUCCUGCCCGAAGACUUCUUCAAUCACGCGGUCAAAGCUCCUUGCUAUGAAAAUUAUGAGGAACGCCUCUCCCGGAUUGCUUGACAAAAUUCACAAAUUCUCCUCACCCGCACGAGUCUAAACUGCAUGGCACAAAGCUCCUGGUCUGCACGAGCAUAAAAGGCAACACCAACGCUCCUGGUCUGCACGAGCAUAAAAGGCAACACCAACACUCCUUGCCUGCACGAGCUGAAACUGCAACACGGCACCAAAUGCUCCUUGCCUGCAUGAGUUAAAAAUGCAAACGGCACAAAAAAGAAAAUACCAAAAAAAAAAAAAUGUAUGUAUUUGAACUACGUUACGACUUGAUCUCUUCUUUGGAGGGGUACGUAGGCAACUCGAAUGUUCAAUUUUUCGAGUUCAGUCACAUCAAAAUAUAAAUAAAUGUUUUAUUAAAGAAAGUCAAUUUUAUUUUAAAAAAAAAAUGAUGAAUACAUAUGUUUAUGUAUUUACAAAAAAAAAAAAAGAGGUUUGUACAAUAUAUAUAUGUAUAUAUGUAUACAUAUAUAUAAUCUGCAAUUGCUUCGGCCCAGCACGGUUCACACCAUCAACAAGGCCACCAAAUGUUGGGCCCAACUCCUGUGGCCCAGUUCUUCACAUCCGGCUUGUCUUCUUCCCCUACGCCUCUCCAAAAUGCGGAAUCUGCUUACAGAGUGUGAAAAAGCGGUCAGGGCACCGCCAUUUUUACAGCGGAGUGCUCCCAUUCCUUCCACUUCGCCUGCAUCUCCGCCCACGUCAAGAAGCACAGCCUCCUCCUGUGCCCCGUCUGCAGUACUGCCUGGAAGGAGCUGCCGUUAAUCUCCGUCCAGAUCUCCACAGAAAACCCAAAACUGAACCAACUCACUCUCUCUAGAAAUUCGAUUCUCCUUCUCCAUAGCUCUCUGCAAGUGCAAUGCAAAACCAAUUCAAGCUUAAGCUCUCAAAUAUUUUUUUGAUCCGCAUCUGGCUCCUGCAAGACUCGAAACUUAUCAGACGAGAUCGAGAAAGCCGCUCCGGAGAUUCGUCAGGUCGAGAGUACUCUGGUUCGAAGAAUUGCAGAGCAGAUCCAAUUGAGGGAAGAAACUGUGGAGGAGUUCACAUAUACUGGUAUUGAUACGAACAGUCGGGUUUCUGCCGGACCCUCGAACCCGAUUCCCUAUCCAUCCUCUCAUCAUCAAAAUCCUAAUCGUCUUCGUCAAUCUCUUUCUCUGCCGGAUCCGAACUCGAGCCCGUUUGGCAUAAUCGUCUACAGCUCCACGCCCGACUCGAACACCAAGUCGGACCCGCCAUUUUCUUCCUCUCUGUCUUCGAAUCUCGCGACCAGGCUGCCAAACCGGACCGAGAAAAUACACCUGGCUUUUUCCAGAAGUAUGAGCUUGCCUUUGACCAUGGCGGACUCCGGGUUCUCACCAAGUCAAGGGGAAUGCAAAAGGAAAGAAAACCGAGACUUCUAGUUCAAGUAGCAGCGGAAGUGAGAGCAGCAGUAGCGGAAAUGGUGGUGUUAAUAAUGCGGGCAGCGACUAUCGAGCACGCGAGCUCUAUGCUCCGCUCCACCAACUCUUCGACGCCGUCGUCCACUCUGACUCUGUGGAGUCGUCACUAAGCCUCAACCUUUCCCCCGUGUAGGACUGCUUUGUCUGUCCUCUCUUUCUCGCUUAGCAACCUCUGACGACGACAAGCACCGCCGUUCUCCUCCUGUAAAGUGACGGCUGGUGACAGCGGUAGAGGAGCAGCCGCGCGGAGCUCCGUCGCGUCGUUCAGAGUAUUGCCAUGGCCAUUGCAGUCGCCGUCGCCGUCGUCUUCGUCUUCUCACUCUCCUUUGUCUUCACUUCCCGAACCGACUCCUCCGAUCUCGGCGACUCGGGUUUCGAUUCUGGUUCAUUUGGUGGAUUUGGAUCGACGAGAAGGACCGUGCUGGCUCUGAAAUCGGAUCCAUUGAAGCUCCUCCAGGCCCAGGAAGCCCAAUUGGCGUUUUCCCCUUCACCAGCCUUUGGAAUGGCAGCUUGCGGAUCAGGAGCUCCGUGCUCUUCUGGUACUUCCUGAUCUCUCUCAGCGCCACCGUUCCCGGCCUGAAGCGGUGAGGCUUCUUCACUCCUCCGGUCGCCGGAGCAGACUUCCGGGCUGCCUUGGGGCCUUGCCUCCGGUCGAUUUCCAGGCGGUUUGCUUGGUACGUGCCUUCAAGACAAGCUGCAGGGACUUCAAGAGAUCACAGCGUUGCAGCCACCACCGUUCCGCCGCCUGCUCGCAUCGACGAGUGCAGCUUCGUCGCCGAGGAGACCAGAAAGGUCUUCAAAAGCUUCGAUUGCAACGGCGAUGGCAAGAUCUCCGUCACAGCUGCCCUGUCCUCCUCCGUCCAAUCCCUCAUCGACAACACCGCCGUCGCCAUCAAAAUCAUCGACAAGUCCCAAGCCGACGCCGCAAUGGAGCCCCGCAUCCUUCGAGAAAUCUCCGCCAUGCGCCGCCUCCUGCUUCACUCUCCUUCUGCCCUCCGCUGCUCCAGCUUCUGUGCAUGCUUCAUCCGUCAUCCUCCUUGCUCCGCUCCCUGCAAAUUCCCCCAGCCCAUCAUCGAAAUUUAUACAAAAAAAAAAUAUAAUAGAAAAUGGGAUAGUGGAGCAAAUUGGUGCUGGCACCAUGUGAAAAGAAAGGGGAGGUGCAUGUGGCACCAAAAGCAGACGAAUAAAAAAAAAAAUAAUAAUAAUAAUAAAAUAAAUAAAUAAUAAUGAUGAAAUAAUAAUGAUAAUAAUAAAAAAAAAAAAAAAAAAAAAAAAAAAAAAGAAGGUGGAUUCUUGGUGGCUAGCACCAUGCAAAAACAAAGGGAAAAUGAGUUUUGGGAUGAAAAAAAAAAUAUAUAUAUAUAUAUAUAUGUAUGUAUGUAUGUGUAUAUAUAUAUAUGUGUGUAUAAUAUAUAUAUAUAAAGCAAAAAAAAAAAAGAGCCUUAAGAAAAAUAAAAGUCCAUUUUAUUUAUUUAUUUUCGGAAAUUUUACAUAAAAUUGCAUUCUACAUACCAAAAAAAAAAAAAAAAAAAAAAAAAAAAAAAAAAAAAAAAACAAUUAACAAAUGUGCAAACAAACGGGAGAGAGUCUUUAUUGCUCAGGUGGUGUCUCAGUACUCGGCGGAACCCCAGGAGGAGGAGGCACCGAAGAUUGAUCAUUCGGAGCUUCACUACGCGGUACAGUCCCAGAAGACGAAGGCAAAUGCUGCUGGAACAAACCCACAAACCUCUGAUGAUCAAGUAAAAUUUGACCAUCAGACUCCUGCAUCUGGUCAAUCUUCCUCUUCAUGUUUGUCGCAUAGCUAUGUGCGAGUUUAUGCAACUGUUUAUUCUCCUGCUUGAGCCCUCUAAUCUCUUGUUUGAGACUCAUCACUUCAGCCGCCAAUGAUUCAACUUGACGGGUUCGAGCAAAUAGGCGUUGGGCCAUAUUAGACACAGAACCCGCACACUGCACACUGAGAGCCAGAGAAUCCUUAACAGCCAACUCAUCAGACCGUUUGGAAAGUAGUCUGUUAUCUCUGGGAGUGACAAGGUUCCGGGCCACCACCGCAGCGGUCAUAUCAUUCUUCACCACUGAAUCCCCAACGGUAAGAGGACCAGUGGGGGAUAUGAAGGAUGGGCGCCAUAUGUUGUCUGGAGAAGAAGGGACUGCCUCUUCACCAAGAUUCAAGUCAAAACGACGAUCGGAGGGGCCAGACAUUUUCAAAGGUGUUAAAGAAAGAAGAGGUCGGACAAAUCGAGAUCUUAGAAGUGCAAGAAGGUACAAGCAAAAAAUUCGAGUGUGCUUUGAAAUGAACUGCCUGCCUCUAUAAAAAUCAGCACUCGACGGGAUUUCAGAGAUCGAAGAGGCGAGCUCAGAAUUCGAAGAGGCCAUUCAAAAAUCGAAGAGGCAAGCUCAGAAAUCGGAGAAGCAUCUUGCUUUUCCAGACGCGUCGGCACCCGUCACACGCAAACUCAGCUUUGCGGAAAUCACGGGUAAUUUGUCGAAGCGCCGAUCCCAGAUAUCGAAGAGGCGCCAGUCUUUUUCAGCCGCGUCAUCACCUGUCAUAUGCACACUCAACUUUGCGCAAAUCACGGGCAAUUUGUCGAAGAUUUUCGGUGAAGGAGAAAGCACGUGAAAGUUUACUGUUCAAUCACGCGUUAGUUGCCGACACGAGUGAAAGAAUAGUACCUCUACAGGUAUCAAAGAACUUCCUAUAACUGUCCACCUUCACCUUCCACAGCAAGGAAGACAUACAGAGCCUUUCUUCAUCUAAAAAAAAAAAAAAUGCUUUCCCAACGAAGCCUCUCGAGUCAUUCAUUCAAUGUUCCUUAUUCCUUGGGGUACCUCUGCAAGCCAAUGACUCCAAAGCAAAAGUAUCUCAUAUCACUAGGGUUGAAAGCAAGAGUAUCUCAUAUCAUGCGUUCUCCCUGUCCUUUCCUUUGUCCUUGUUCUUACCUACAAAGACAAGGAUAAAGAAAACAAUAUGCCGGAACUUCCACUCAAACUCGGGUAAGGAACCGACUGCUUGGAACCCUUCCCUGAUUGCCUGCCUAGCACUGCUCUCGAGUACUCGUCUCCCACUGCUGCUGUACUUCCAUAGAAGCUGUCACAUCUGCUUGGAGAACAGAUAAGACAAGUGAAAAUGAUACCUUGCAGCAUGUGGAGACAACGUGCUGAAGAAACAAGCAGAGAAGAAGGCGGUCUGCACAGUCAACUCAGCAGAAGGAGUCCGAGCUGAAGAACUCGAGAAGCUGCCAUAUCUGCCUGAAGAAACAAGCAGAGAAGAAUGCAGCAUGCUCAGUUAACUCGGCAGAAAGAGUCUGAGAUGAAGAACUCGUUUUGACCCUCAAAUUCUUGGGUCGACUUACUAGGCGUUGUGGGCUGCACGUGCUGAUUCACCACCCUUGAAUCAAAUCCUUAAAGAUCAUGUCACCAACGGGAAGAAGAGCUCAUCAACCUUGAAGAUCAUACCGUUGACCAAACUGCUCAGGUGUGAAUUAGAAAGAUUGAACAAAGAAACAGGUUGUCACCUUUACCUCGUGCCUGCUUACCAUGUGUUCGAGUCAACCUUCAAGAAUCAAGCCUCAACGGCCCUUGAAGAAGCUUCCAGCCAAAUUCAAAAAUCAAGCCUCGACGGCCCUGGAAGAAAUCACAAGUCCGAUUCAAGAUUAAGUGUCUACCACCCUUGAAUCAAAACCUAGUUCAAGAAUAAGCUGUGGAAAAUCAACAAUUGGAGGAAUCUAGAAAAUCCUUCAACCCAGUUCAAGAUCAAAGCUGUGGAAAGUCAACAAAGCGCAACAAAAUACGUGUCGAUUCACCCACUACCAAAGCCAAAGAUCAUCUACCACAUGAAACUCCUUGUGGUCCAAUUUCAACCUUCAAGAUCAAGCCUCGACGGCCCUUGAAGAAAUUUCAAACAACAAUUCAAGAUCAAGCCUCAACGGCCCUUGAAGAAAUCUCAAGCCCAAUUCAAGAUCAAGCCUCAACGGCCCUUGAAGAAAUCUCCAGCCCAAUUCAAGAUCAAGCCUCGACGGCCCUUGGAUCGACAUCUAUAGUAAGGGACUUCAAAACACAUCUCCUACACGUGACAAGCACAUGUAUACGACGUGCCUUGAAGUGGGGGCAUUUGUAGACAUCGAAAUUUCGGUAAAUAAAUGUUGACCAAUAAAUCAAAGUGUCAACGCUCAUGUAUUACAUAAAUUUUACACGUAGCAUGUGACUCAACGAAAAUUGAAAUGAGUUGGAAAAGUCAUCAAAUAAGACACGUGUCAACACCUGGCAGAAACGACUUAUUUCAUCUGGGAUAUUAUAUUCAAAAUUAGGCCUUGGAAAAUUCUAUAAAUACAAGCCCAUUUCAUUCAUUUGGAGGAGGAAUUCAUAUUACACCUUGAAGCUCUGAAGCUCUGAAACUCCGAAGCUCUUAAGCAUCUAGGUUCCCGAAGAAUCAAGAAAGCCUUCUUCGUUCUUCGUUCAUCGUUCUUCCAAGAUCAAGCCCCGACGACCUUUGGAUCAACAAUCAUCCACCAAUUCAAGAUCAAGCCCCGACGGCCCUUGAAGAAAGUGUUCUUCGUUCUUCGUUCAUCGUUCUUCCAAGAUUAAGCCCCAACGGCCCUUUGGAUCAACAAUCAUCCACAAAUUCAAGAUCAAGCCCCGACGGCCCUUGAAGAAAGUGUUCUUCGUUCUUCGUUCAUCGUUCUUCCAAGAUCAAGCCCCGACGGCCCCUUGGAUCAACCAUCCACCAAUUCAAGAUCAAAGCCCCGACGGCCCUUGAAGAAAGCAUCAUCGUUCAUCAUCCGUUCAUCCAAGAUCAAGCCCCAACGGCCCUUUGGAUCAACAACGUCGACAAAUCCACAAAUCCAACCGUUCUUCAAGAUCAAGCCCAAAACUCCUUGAAGAUCCGUUCAUCACUGUUCUUCAAGAUCAAGCCCAAAAGCCCUUGGAGAUCCGUUCAUCACUGUUCUUCAAAGAUCAAGCCCAAAAGCCCCUUUGAAGAUCCGCUCAAAUCCACCUUCAAGAUCAAGUCCACGGCCCUUGAAGAACGUUCAUCCUUAGAUCAAGCCCAACGGCCCUUUGGAUCAAUCACAUCGACAAAUACACACCUUACGGAGAUCGAAUCAGAGGAUCAAAAUAGAGAGAGAUUGUAACCCAAAAUCAUCAAAUCCAAAUAUUUGUUUGUGCGCGUUUGUUCUUGUCUCUUUCGUUUCAGGAAUUUUCCGUGUUCACAAACUUAUUUUGAUAAAAUUUUGACGAAGUUGAAGAAAAUGACUACAGCUACACAUUUUGAUGAGUUGAGGGACCAAUAGUAAUAUAUUUUAAAUUAAGGGACAUUGCUCCAAUUUGAUUAAAGUUGAAGGACCAUUGCUAAAUUUACUCUUUUCUUUUAUGUACAUGAAUAUCAGAGAUGCUCUAAGUUAUAAAAGUGCAUUGUCAUUAUUAUUCCAAUUCCAAAUGCACGUGAGCAAUUUUCAAGUUGCAUUCUUUCAGGCUCGCUGCUGCAUCAGAUUCCACGGGCGAAUCAAACACAUAAGUAUUUGCCUUUAAAAAAAAAAUUCUUUUAUUUAUGAGAGAUAAAGAUAAACCAACGUAAUUUUACCGAGAAUCUGAUAGUUUUCCCGGAACUUUUUAAUCUUUUGGUCCCCACAUUUAAGGACUAUACUAUAAGACCAUCUCCAACUCUUAGUUUAAAAUCUAAAAUUUUUAAUGAAAAAAAAUUUAGGUUUUAACUCCGAAACAGUUUUUCGGUUCCACCAUUCUAGGUUAAAUUUGUAGUCCGAGAUUAUUAAAGAAUGAAUAUAGGAUAAUUUUUUUUUUCUUAAAGUAACCUCUUUUUUUUUUGAACAAAAUUAUGUAGAUUAUCCUAACUUAAUUUUAUGAACAUUUUAACAUAAAAAUAUUUAGAUUCCGAUAAAUAUUGAAAAAUCACUAAAUUCAUACCAUGAAACUAGUGGAAUACUGUAAAAGAAUAUGAAAUGCAUGAAAGAUUUUUUUUUAAUUAUUUAGUCAUUGGAUUUAUAUAUUUAGACUGUUAUUUUUUUUUUUUUUUUACCGUUGGCUUUGAUCAUAUUAGAUUUCAGUCUUUGGAUUCAAUUAAUUUAUAAAGAUAAAACUAAAAAAAAGUACACAUAUAUGGUGAGCCAACCUACUAACCCAAAAGAAAUUCUGAGCUAAAUUUGCCUCAAAAAAUGAAGUUUUGGGUUAAAACUUAUAUUUGGUCCAAGGGUUAGAGCAAUUUGGAGUAGGUUUAGAACCUAAAAUUUAAGUUUUAAUCUAAAGGUUGGAGUAGGUCUAAGAACACUCCCAUUGGAGCUAAUUUUCUUUUAGGUACACUAUUCUUUAAAGUCCCUAAAUAAAUCCUGAAAAGUGGUAGUUGGAAUCCCUAAUUUUCUUUUAGGUACAUGAAUAUCAGAGAUGCUCUAAGUUAUUAAAAGUGCAUUGUCAUUAUUAUUCCAAUUCCAAAUGCAUGUGAGCAAUUUUCAAGUUGCAUUAGGCUCGCUGCCGCAUCAGAUUCCACGGGCGAAUCAAACACACAAGUAUUUGCCUUUAAAAAAAAUUUCUUUGAUUUACGAGGGAUAAAGAUAAACCAGCGUAAUUUUCCCGAGAAUCUGAGAGUUUUCCCGGAAACCCAGCUGGAGAAAAGGCACGACUUCUGCAUGACGAUCAUCUACGGGUUGGUGCUGAUCGGCGUUGUUUUUGCGUAUACUAGAAGUGCGGGCAUCGUAUUGCUCCUCGCUCUUGUUGGAUAUAUCAGUCUCAAAGACUCCGAGAGGAAGAAGAACUCGUAUCCUGCUUUGAAUCUCGAAACGGGUACGUUUGCUAAGAUCAUAAGACGUUAAAGGGGGAAAUAAAUAAAAAUAAAAAAAACAAAUCAUAAUCUGGAUCUUUGUUUGUUGAGAUCACAAAUAGGUAACUUUUGUAGCUUGAUUAAUUUGAUAGAUUUAAUUUUGCUGAUAAUUAUGCUGGAAAUGUGAGUUGUUCCCUCUAAUGAUCUGGAAGCUUUGUGCUUCUGCAAGAGUGGAAGACUUCACUUGUUAAAUUGUUUACUGCUUGCACCUUUAUUAAACUCAUAAUUAAUUCAGGGUUUUACUGCUUGCACCUUUAUUAAACUCAUAAUUAAUUUUAAAUUCAAAACAUUUCCAAAAUAAAAAAUAGUAAUUUAUUCAGGGUUUUACUGCUUGCACCUUUAUUAAACUCAUAAUUAAUUUUAAAUUCAAAACAUUUCCAAAAUAAAAAAUAAAAAAAAUAGAAUAAGUUUGUACCCAUUAAUUUUUUAUAAAAAGAUUUUCAAUUUUUUAACCUUAAAUGUACCCAUUUGUAUAAUUUUUUUAAAUUUUUUUUUUAAUCUUAAAUGUACCAUUUUAUUAUAUGUAAAAUGUAAUUUUUUAAAAAAUAUAUAAAAUGUACCCUUUUUUUUAAUAUAAAAUCCAUUGAAUUUAAUCCAAAUUUUUAAACUUAUAUGGUACAUUCUUUUUCGUUAAUUUGAGAAUGGAUCCAUGUCAAUUUAAUUGAAGAAAUUUACUAAAGCCUAAUAUCUUUGUUUUUUGUGGUGGUACAUGUUUUGGUACAAUUUUUUUUUGGUUAAUUUUGAUGAAAUACCCAUAUAUAUUAUAUAUAUUGGAGAGUAUAAUUUAUCUUUUAAUAUUUUUAAUCCCACAAAUUAUCAAUUUUAUUUAAAAUCUCAUUAAUAUAAACAACUACAAAUUUCAAUUUUGAAUUUAAAAAAUAUAAUAACCUACAUAAAAAUACAUUAUUACAUUAAUGUAAGGAACUUCGAUAAAAAACUGAAAACCAACAAGGUUUAAGUCAAAAAAAAUUAAUAGUUAAGAAUCACAUCCAAAGUCUCCAUUUAUAUUAUCUUGCAAGUUGUAAUUACAAUUGUAUUGUAGUAGUGAGGAAAAGAAGUCAGGGUACUAAGGUUGAUCUAUCUAAGGUUUAGAGAUUUGGAGAGAAAAGUGGCAAUAAGCGAAAGACUAGCUAGGAGGAAAUUGAUAAGGUGAGAGAAACUAAAAAGGAAUUGAGAGUCUUCGUCAAGAGGAAUUAUGCGGUACUUGGACCGGACCACCCCUUCAUUUUGAGGUCCACACUUAUCCUACUGUGGUCCCACUCUCUCUCAUUCUCCCCAAUCCGAGUUCUUUCACACAAGGAUGUGUCCUCCAUCAAGGGCAAAGAACAAACUGUAUAUAGUCAUGUGUCCAUCGGGCGGAUGGUCCUAUAUAUUUUGGUCAUUCUCUGCCCCGGACCACCAUUGUGAGAGUCUUGUAAUCCAUGACCCUUUUCAAUCGAGUUUCAUUUCGUUUCUAUUGUAGUUAGCUUGAUUGUGUUGGGUUGGGUCUUCGGGUUGCCUUCCACCAAUACGAAUAAUAAAAAAAUUAGUAGCAUAAUUGUGCUCCUGUUGUUGAACAACUUUCCAAGUUUGAUCAUCCUAAUAUAGGUGUCCCCAUUGCCAAUAAUUUGUAAGGUUUAGACCAUGUGCAAUGGUGCGGGUUAAAAUUUAAUUUUUAGCCAAGAAAAUUAAGGUUCUAAUCUAUAAAUAACUUUUCUUCUCCAUUGGUUUUGGCUUAAUAUUUUAGCCAAUAUUAUUAAAGAAUAAUUUUAGCCUAUUCUUUUUUUGGUAACUUUUUUUAAAAUAAAAUUUAUGUAGAUUAUCUUAAUUUAUUUUUAUAAACAUUUUAAUUCCAAUAAAUAAUGAAAAAUCACUAAACCUACCUAAUGAAACAUAAAAGUCAUGGAACAACAUGAAAAACACUAAACCUACAUAAUAUGCUUCAAUCUUCUAACAAUUACUAAUACAAACAAUAAAUAAAAAUUAAUAAAGGAUAAUAAAAAAAUCAUAACAAUUAUUAAUGCUAAUAAUAUUCAUCAUCAUUUGGUUGACUUUGUCCUUGACUUGGUAGUGGAUUUUGUGGCGGACUCGACUAACAAACGUUAGAUGGAUCAAUUGAUUAUCAUCCUCAAAAAUAUUCCUUGUGGCAUUCCUUUUUAUAAUAUUUGCUUGCUUCUCAUAGAAGAACUUCUUUCUAUUGGGAGUGUAUUUGUUGGGUCCUCCCUCAUUACAUCAAAUUCAAUCCUUUCUUGCGCUAAAUAGUCUCUUGCAUCCUUAUUUUUCCAGUAAACGCAUUUGAACAUUUCUUCCUUGAUCUACCCUUGGCCUUCAAUUAAUUUUUCAACUCCGAAACAAAGCUUGGCACCAAUCGGAUCUUACAUCUUUCCUUAUCUCUUUGCUUCCUUUUGCUUAUCUCGUCCCGACGCCCUUGCAAUAGUAGGAGAUGGGGUCACCGAUUCGUCAGUAGCGUUGUCAACAUUAACACUUGAGCCUUCAUGAGCAAAUAAUUUUGCCCAUCGUUGGUCCGCAUCAGUUGGUCACCUCAUAUAAUCUUUGAGGAUGUCCCAAGCAUGAUGCAACUUAAAAGUUUGGUUUUCGGGUGUAGUUCUUGUCUUGUAAAUCGCCAUUGCUUUCUCACCUUAUGCAAGCAAUAAAUAAAGAUCAAUUAGUUGUAAAAUAAGAUUGUAUACAUGAAAAAUAAACUAUGAAGGUAGACACUUACCACUUCUUUGGUUCUCAUUCUACUAGCCAUGCCAACUACGGCUCACCCCAAGCUUCACAUCCACAAAGUGCACGCUUUUUUUUUUUUUUUUUUUUUUAAUCUUCCACCGAUCGUGAACACCACCACCUUCCCUUUGGUUGGUGUUGGAGUCGCAGGGCCGGCCUAGGCCCAGUGCAGGCAGGGCGACCGUCCAGGGUCCAAAAAAAUUAGGGGCACCAAAAUUAUUAGGGCGGUAUAUUUAUAUAUAUUUUUAUAAGAGUAUAAAUUUAUAAAAUUUGGUUCAAAGACAUAGAAAUUUAACUAGAAGUGGUGGUUUUUCAUUUGAAAAUAAUGAGGAGGUCUUGGGUUCAAAACACCAUGUGUGCUUAUUUACUUUCCAUUUUUUACAAAUUUCUUUUUAUAAGAGUAUAAAUUUAUAAAAUUUGGUUAAAAGAUCAAGAAGUUUAAUUAGAAACAAUGAUUUUUGUUGUUUAAAAUUAACAAGAGGUCCUAAGUUCGAAAUGCUAUGUGCAUGUUUAUUUUUUACAAAUUUUUGUUUGGUUGUUAAUUUAUUUUUAGUUACUAUCUAGUAGCUAUGUUGGUUGUUAUUUUUAAAUAUUCGUUUUAAUUCAAGUCUAAUCUUCAACAAAGAAUAAUAUGUAAACCAAAUUUGCAAAUUAUAUGACAUGUCAUCAAAAUGUUUAAUUUAGUGCCCAUUCAUUAAUAAUACAUAUCAAUUAAAGACUCGAAAACAUCAUUAUUUUUUAGUCCCAUAUUGACAAGGUUAGUAAAUAAGAAAAAAAACAUCUCACGAUUUAUUCAAAAACACAUUCAAAGUUCAGAUGAAAAACAAAACUCAUCAUCUAUCUACUUGUAAGCCUGAAGUUUUUUUGUUUCCCUCUCUCAAUACAAAAUAAAUUAGUCUUUCUGUGUUUCUAAAUUAUUGAGUUUGAAGUGUUUUUCUAAGUAUAAUUUUUUCGAUGUCUUAUGUGUGAAAAUAAAUAAUUUUCUUACAUGAAGUCAGGGCACUUUUUUUUACGUCGCCCCGGGCCUCAAAAAUCUCUAGACCGGCCCUGUGGAGUCGGAAUUGAUUUGUCCACUAUUUUAGCUCACACGCCAUUUUUUUUUUAUCUGUGCUGAUGACACCAUCUUCUCACUAAUAGAAACUCAUGCCAAGCACAAAGCAAUAUCUUCAUUAUUUGACCAAUUAGGCUCGAAAAAUUAGGAAAUGGGAAGAAAUAGUUUUGGAAGUGGGUAGAAAGAAAAAAAUGGAAUAACUGUUAUGAGGAAAGUGAAUUUUGCAUGGAUGUUUAAAUAAAUACACAAGUAUAUAUAGAAUUUUUGGGUAAAUUUUGAUUUAAAUAAAAUUUUAAUUGAUUUAGCUUUAAAUUUAAUUAUGGGUCGUUAAAUCUAUUUUUUAUCGUUAGAUUAGAUCAUAUUCGAUUUCACCGUUGAAUUUGAAAUGCUUGGUCUUAGGGGAUUAAAAACCAGUGACUAUCACAAAGUUGUGUAGGAUGUUACAGAUUGACAAGUAGUCCAUCCUUUCUAUUAUUUCGCGCGCCACUUAUGAUAUAUACAGGCUACAGCUACGAAUUAACCCCCUUUCCGUCGGUACGGAGGACACCCUGGUGGAAGGAGAAACAAAAACAAACCCUCCAAGAGAGUUUCCGUUUUAAAAAUUUUGAAAAAUUAAAAUCUGAAAAAUCCCAGUUUUCGAUCAGAUUAUUCUCUCUUUGGUUACGAUUUAUGAAAAUUUAUUUCUUCAGUUCCGAUCAGUUCGUGCUCGAAAGAUCAUCAGAAAAUCUACCAGGAAUGGUUUCGAUUCGUUGAUUCAGGUACAUACUUACACUGUUCCGCACAAACACGCAUUUAUUUUCUUCACAUUUCUUUUUUCAGGGAAAAUUUCUUAGUUUUCUGUUUGGUUCCCGAGAAAAUUGAGCAACUGUAAAUUGAGUGUCGGUUUUGUUUUGUUCAGACGCUGAUGGCCGCAUCACCGGGAGUGAUGCUAUAAAGUUCUUCGGCAUGGCCAAUCUGAAUCGGGAGGAGCUCAAGCAGGUUAAUUUGCGUUUUAUUUUGUUUAUUUGAUAUUUUUUUUUGGGUAAUGCCAACCGAGUCACAUAACAAACCGAUUCUUCUUUAUCUUUCGAACAAUGUAUACAUUAACUUACUAAUUUAUUGUAAUAUCAAAUUUAUGUUAAAAAAUCCGUCAAAUUGACUGUCAUCACUGACAUGGCAAAUGUGAUACGUGGAUCCUCCAUUAAUUGACACGUGGACUGACAUUCAAACCCUUUUUUUUUUCUUUUUGUAUUUUUUUGCCUUUCUUUUUCCUCUUUUUCCAUUUUUUAUCUGGUCUUCGAUGAAAUCCAUCUCCGCUGCACUUGCAUAUCGCCUGCAACCUGCAUGUAAGCUGCAUCUGCAUUUCGCCUGCAACCAACCACGAACUUGUAUCUCGCCGUGGCUUGAACCCAGCUCUCCGCCUCCAGGUGCGCACAAGGGCGAAUCAGAGCGAGAGCCCCAGUCGGUGCUGAGAUUCGAAGAGAGGGAAAAAGAGAACAGAGAGGCUUUAUUUUGUGAUUUUCUAUUAAUCAAUUUAAUUUGUCAGUCAGUCUACGUGUCAAAUUUGGUGGGUACCAUGCCUGCCACGUAAGCAUUUAAUAAAAAAAUUGACAAAUUUUUUAACGGAUAUCUGACAUUUCAAUCAAUUCGUAAUAUGAGAUAUGAGUUUGUUAUAUGACUUAAAAUUGAGGUGUGCAAAUGUAAUUUACCCUAUUUUCUUUUAUCAAAUUAGUGCAGUCUCGUUUUCAUUUGUUUCUUGUUUUUGCUGUAAUUCAAUACUAUUAGUAUUUGGUGAAUUUGUUUUUGAUGCAGAGGUUAGUGUAAGCUCAGUUAACGCGUGGUCAUUUUUGAAAUAUAUUUUGUUAGGAUUGAGUUGAGGGUUUGUAUUUCCGUUGAGCAAUGCAUAGUUAUUGUGACGCUUAAUAUGCGAGUAGAGCCGUGGAAGUUGGCACAGAUUGGGUUACUUUGAUAAACUCAAGCUUAAGACUAUGAUCUAUGCCAAACAUUACAUUACAUUUGUAGCAGAAAGCCCCUCCGAUUAGAAGAUGCGACUAUGGGACAGAGGUUCAGGGCCGAAGGGGUAGAGGAAGACCUAGGAAAACUUUGGAAGAGACUCUAAGAAAAGACUUAGAGUACUUGGAUCUAACGAAGGACAUGACACAGGAUCGAGCACAAUGGCGUUCUAAGAUUCAUAUAGCCGAUCCCACUUAGUGACUUGGAUUUUCCAAGUCUCCAACCGAGAAGUUUUCCUCACUCGGGAAAUUAAGGGAACACUACCCCAACCUACAUGCUCCACUCAGAAAGCUUCAACAUACAAGCUUCAACAAAAGAAAAUUCAAAGAACUUAGCGAAGAAGGCUUUGGUGUAUUUAACACAAUACGUUGAAAUGAAGGAAAGCUUAUUUAUUGAUAUCCCCGAUAAGCUACAAAUAUGUACAUAUACAUGAGUCAAAAUAAACACACAAGAGGGAGCCUUCACAAAGGUUGCUUAGGAGAAGUCUCAGCAGUCGGUAGAGCCCCAGAAAGAGAAGGCACCGGAGGGGGAUCAUUUGGAGCCUCAGUACUGGACAGAACCCUGGAAGGAGGAGGCAUCAGAGGUUGAUCAUUUGGAGCUUCAUUACGCGGUACAGCCCCAGAAGACGAAGGCAAUAAAUGCCUUUGGAACAAACCCACAAAUCUCUGAUGAUCAAGUAAAACCUGACCAUCAGUUUCCUUCAUCUGGUCAAGCUUCCUCUUCAUGUUUGUAGCAUAGUCAUGUGCGAGCCGGUGCAACUGUUUAUUCUCAUGCUUGAGCCCUCUAAUCUCCUGUUUGAGACUCAUCACUUCAGCCGCCAAUGAUUCAACUUGGCGGGUUCGAGCAAAUAGGCGUUGGGCCAUAUUAGACACAGAACCUGCACACUGAACACUGAGAGCCAGCGAAUCCUUAACAGCUAACUCAUCAGACCGUUUGGAAAGUAGUCUGUUAUCUUUGGGAGUGAGAAGGUUCCUGGCCACCACCGCAGCGGUCAUAUCAUUCUUCAUCACGGAAUCCCCAACGGUAAGAGGACCAGUAGGGGAGACGAAGGAUGGGCGCCAUAUGUUGUCUGGAGAAGGCGGGGCUGCCUCUUCAACAAGGUUCAAGUCAAAACGACGGUCGGAGGGGCCAGACAUUUUCAAAGGUGUUGAAGAGAGAAGAGGUCGGACAAAUCAAGAUCUUAGAAGUGCAAGAAUGAAGCUUCUACUGGUGGAGAUUCAAGUGUGCUUUAGAACUUAAUGCCAGCCCCUAUAAAAAUCUGCACUCGACGGAGCUUCAGAAAUCGAAGAGGCGCCUGCUCAGAAAUCGAGAGGCGCCUGCUCAGAAAUCGAAAGAGGCGUUUGCUUUCUCAAAAGCUGAGCUGUUUUAGAGAUCACGAGGGUUGAUCUCAGAAAUCGAAGAGGCUUUUGCUUUCUCAAAAGUUGGGCUGCUCAAAGACCACGAAGGCCGAUCUCAGAAAUCGAAGAGGCGCUCGCUUUCUCAAAAGCUGGGCUCCCCAGAGACCACGAGGGCCGAUCUCAGAAAUCGAAGAGGCACCUACUUUUCCAGCCUUGUCAGCACCUGUCACACGCACACUCAGCUUUGCGGAAAUUAUGGGCAUUCUGUCGAAAGACUUCUGGGGAAGUAGAAAACACAUGAAUCUUACUGUUCAAUCACCCACUUCCCACACGCAACAAUAGCUCAUGGGUACCACAGAUAACUUUGCCAAAGUUCUCUGCCAAAGUUGAGCACGUGAAGCUUGCAGCUCCCACUACAUCGCUCUGACCAAGAAGGGUAAAAGAAUAGCAAAGAAACAGCACUAACAAAGUUUAGACCCAUAAAUUUUGAAGGUCUAGCUACCAUAUUAUUACCCACAAGGGUAAAGGAACAGUACCACUGCUGGAUAAUUGGAAAGUCCCUGUGUGUCAACCUCUGUGCUUCGUGGCAAGGUAGACUAGCAAACAUGCCCAACCUUUACUCACAUUCGAGAAAACACUCCCAAUAAGAUUGCUUGCUCCAAAAUCGAAGAGGCACCGUCCUCCGAAUCUCGAGAGCCAGACUCCCAACAUGACUACUUUCUUAAAAAUCGAAGAGAGGGUAAAGGAACAGUACCAUUGCUGGAUAAUUGGAAAGUCCCUGUGUGUCAACCUCUGUGCUUCGUGGCAAGGUAGACUAGCAAACAUGCCCAACCUUUACUCACAUUCGAGAAAACACUCCCAACAAGAUUGCUUGCUCCAAAAUCGAAGAGGCACCGCCCUUCCGAAUCUUGAGAGCCAGACUCCCAACAUGAUUACUUUCUCAAAAAUCGAAGAGACACUGCUCCCCGAAUCUUCGAGAGCCAGACCCCCAGCAUGAUUGCUUUCUCAAAAAUCGAUGAGGCAUCGUUCUCCGAAUCAAUCGAAGAGGCGCUCGCUUUCUCAAAAGCUGGGCUGCUCAGAGACCACGAGGGCCGAUCUCAGAAAUCGAAGAGGCACCUACUUUUCUAGCCUUGUCAGCACCUGUCACACGCACACUCAGCUUUGCAGAAAUUAUGGGCAUUCUGUCGAAGACUUUCUGGUGAAGUAGAAAGCACAUGAAUCUUACUGUUCAAUCACCCACUUUCCCACACGCAACAAUAGCUCAUGGGUACCACAGAUAACUUUGCCAAAGUUCUCUGCCAAAGUUGAGCACGUGAAGCUUGCAGCUCCCACUACAUCGCUCUGACCAAGAAAGGUAAAAGAAUAGCAAAGAAACAGCACUAACAAAGUUUAGACACAUAAAUUUUUGAAGGUCUAGCUACCAUAUUAUUACCCACAAGGGUAAAAGGAACAGUACCACUGCUGGAUAAUUGGAAAGUCCCUGUGUGUCAACCUCUGUGCUUCGUGGCAAGGUAGACUAGCAAACAUGCCCAACCUUUACUCACAUUCGAGAAAACACUCCCAACAAGAUUGCUUGCUCCAAAAUCGAAGAGGCACCGUCCUCCGAAUCUCGAGAGCCAGACUCCCAACAUGACUACUUUCUCAAAAUCGAAGAGAGGGUAAAGGAACAGUACCAUUGCUGGAUAAUUGGAAAGUCCCUGUGUGUCAACCUUUGUGCUUCGUGGCAAGGUAGACUAGCAAACAUGCCCAACCUUUACUCACAUUCGAGACAACACUCCCAACAAGAUUGCUUGCUCCAAAAUCGAAGAGGCACCGCCCUCCGAAUCUCGAGAGCCAGACUCCCAACAUGAUUACUUCCUCAAAAAUCGAAGAGACACUGCUCUCCGAAUCUCGAGAGCCAGACCCCCAGCAUGAUUGCUUUCUCAAAAAUCGAAGAGGCAUCGUUCUCCGAAUCUCGAGAGCCAGAUACCACAGACCACUUUUUCAAAGUGCUCUGACAGAGUUAAAACAUGUGAAACUGGCAGCUCCCACUACCGUGCUAUGACCAAGCAGGGUAAAGGAAUAGCAUUACUACUUGUUGUUAGGGAGACUCCUAUAUAUGUCGACCUCCAUCCCCAACGACAGGCAGACCUGCAAAAAUGCUCAACCCUUCAUCAUAUCUGAGAGGGCACUCCCAACGAAGCCUUUCGAAAUAUUCAGCUUUCUUUCCCCCCGAUAAUACCUCUGCAAACAAGCUAUACUAGAGCAAGAAUAUCUCAUAUCAUCAGGGUUAAAAGCAAGAGUAUCCCAUAUCAUGCUUUUUCCCUGUCUUUUCCUUUGGCCUUGUUUUUACCUGCAAGACAAGGAGAAAGAGAGCAAUCAGUCAGCACUUGGAAUCAAGCUUCCAGCCAGGAACUGACUGCCUGGAACCCCUUACCUGAUUACUUACCUGGCAUUGCUCUCGAGUACUCAUCUUCAACAUCUUAUGUUUCCAGGGAAGAGAUUCCGCAUCUGCUUGAGGAACAGAUAGGGCAAGUGCGAAGGAUACAAGGAAGCAUGUGGAGACAAGCGUAACAGCACACGUGCCGAUACAUCCAUUACUCUGUCAAAAGCAAAAGUAUCCCAUAUCAGCAGGGUGGAACGUACUCUAGAUUUGAUGGACUUGUUUUGACCCUCAAAUUCUUCAGUCGGCCUUAUACUCUGGAGGAAACCAGAAAAACCCUCCAGCUCAGUUCAAGAAUAAGCCUGUGGAAAGUUACUUCUUCAAAAGCAAAAGUAUCUCAUAUCAUCUCUUCUCAUUUUUCUUCUCUUUAUCCUUCAUGCUGCUGCAAGAUGGGGAGAAGGUGAACAAUCAGUCGGAGCUCUGAUUGCUUACCUUGUCUGUCACCUCUUUCAGCAGACCCCCUAGCUCGGCGACUUGGGGAACUCCUACUACAUGGUUUGUAUCGCGCUUGACCAAGCCUGAAACUACAAGUAAGCUUCAAGUGAAAUUGAUACAUUACCUUGUGCAUCUCCACCAGUUAAAGAUACCACCCCUGGAUGGAGGAAGAGUACUUCCAGAGAAGAUGCCACAUCUACCUAUGAGACAGAUAAGGCAAGUCAAGACGACACCACACUCCGAUACUUAGAAGUUUCGUGAUUACGAGAUCAUUCUCCCACAAUAUUUCCUAAUGUCAUUUGUACUAAAUCAUUCACUUGUACUCACUAAAGGAGAGCUUGAACCUAUGUACUUGUGUAAACCCUUCACAAUUAAUGAGAACUCUUCUAUUCCGUGGACGUAGCCAAUCUGGGUGAACCACGUACAUCUUGUGUUUGCUUUCCUAUCUCUAUCCAUUUAUAUACUUAUCCACACUAAUGACCGGAGCAAUCUAGCGAAGAUCACAAAAAGCGACCGUUUUCGCUACCUAGGAUCUAUCUUGCAAGAGAACGGAGAAUUAGAUGGAGAUCUCAACCAUAGAAUACGAGCUGGAUGGAUGAAGUGUAAGAGUGCAUCCGGCGUGUUGUGUGACCGUCGUAGGCCACUGAAGCUCAAGGGAAAAUUUUAUAGGACGGCAAUAAGGCCAGCGAUGUUGUAUGGCACAGAAUGUUGGGCGGUGAAGCAUCAACACGUACACAAAAUGGGUGUAGCGGAGAUGAGGAUGCUUCGUGGGAUGUGUGGGCACACGAAAAAGGAUAAGAUUGGGAAUGAGGAUAUCCGAGGUAAAGUAGGAGUAGCCGAAAUUGUAGGAAAGAUGAGAGAAAAUCGGCUCCGGUGAUUUGGACAUGUGCAAAGAAGGCCGACUGACGCUCCGGUUCGAAGAUGUGACUACGGGACAGAGGUUCAGGGCCGAAGGGGUAGAGGAAGACCUAGGAAAACUUUGGAAGAGACUCUAAGAAAAGACUUAGAGUACUUGGAUCUAACGGAUGACAUGACACAAAACCGAAUGCAAUGGCGUUCUAGGAUUCAUAUAGCCGACCCCACUUAGUGGGAAAAGGCUUUGUUGUUGUUGUUGUUGUUGUUGAUAUAUAUAUAUAUAUAUAUAUAUAUAUAUAGCAAAAAUCAAAUAUUUUGAUUGAUAGGAAUCUGACAUGUUGUUACUUUUUCAUUUCCAGCUAGUUUCUCAUGCACAAGCUGGACAUGAUAUUACACACGGUUUAUUGAAUAGCAACGGUGGGUUUCUUUUGUUUGACUUUUAUUGGAAUGCAUGCUUGGAUUGGUAGAAUCUCAUGUAUAAGUUGAAUACUUGUAAUACCUGCUUUUUAAUAAAUAUGAAUGGCACACAAGUAUUUAUUUAUUUAUUAAUUUUAAAAUCUUGUUUGGCACGCUCUUACUUAAACUUUGAGUGCUUUGUUUUAGUUGGCUUGGAAAGUCUGAAACUUCCUGUUAUGGAGGGUUUGGAUGCAUUAUUAUUAGCGGUACGUAGGCUUUUUAUACCUUUCUUAUUUUUAUUUUACUCAUUGUCAUGGAUUUAUUUAUUUUUAAUUAAUUCGUUGUAUAUGGCCGAAGAAAUUGAUUUCGUGUACUUAAUUUAUUCAGAAUAAAAAGCAUUUGCCCAAGUCAAAUGAAAACAAAGUAAAUGGUGAGGAAUUUCUCUAAGUACGAGAUGUGUACUGUUACUUUUGGUUUUUGCUGUCUAUUUACAUAUAAUCUGUGACGCAGGAACUGCUGUGGUGCAGCAAUCACCUUCAGCACUUUGGUUUUCUCCAGAAUCAUCAAAAAAGGUAUAUGUUGUUUCUUAUUUUAAGAGGCAAUUGCCCUUUUGCUUUCAUGAUAGUCAGAAAAAAAGGAUUUAUCGUAAAACUGUUUCUAUUUGAUACUAACUUGAAUUUUCUUAUUUUGAUAAGUUGAGUUUAUUUUUCAUUGUUCGUGAGAAAUUUAUGAUAGUUUUGCAUUCCAGUCUCUCUGAGUUGUUAUACUUCAAGCUGAUUGCAAAAAUACUUGUGUUUUUAUUAGGUUAAGUUUAUCAAUGAUCAUGCGAAAUUAUGAGUCAGUUAGGACUCUGUCCACAACAAAGGCCAGGAGAGGCCAUUUUACAUAGUGAAAAAGAACGAAAAGAGCUUUGUUUACGUCAGUUUUAGGAGUGUUUAUUUUUUUUAUUUUAUUAUUAUUACUAUUUUAUGCGUGAUAUGUCACAGACAGAGUUGAUAAAAUUUCCUGUGCAUACAGAAUGAAAUUUGCAAUACUCUUGGGUAGACAUGAGUUGUGCACUCACCUUAUAAAAAAUCUUUGGCAUAUUUCUAGAUACCGCUUUCUUCUGUAACAUCAAUUAUUGAUGGGUUGAAGAGACUGUAUGUUCAGAAGCUGAAGCCAUUAGAAGUUACUUAUAAGUUCAACAAUUUUGUAUCCCCAUUAAUGGUGAGUGAGUAUCAUUCCCUUCUUCUAGUUCUUUCAUCAGAUUUAUUUCAAUCUUCUCAAACAUCUAUUUAAUUGUGGCAUGCUAUAGUUAUCAAUUGAUAUUUAGUUGCUUUAUUUCGCAGACAAAUGGUGAUUUUGAUGCCAAACCCAUGGUUAUGCUUUUGGGUCAAUACUCCACUGGGAAAACAACAUUCAUUAAACAUUUGCUUAAAAGUAGUUAUCCAGGUAAGUUAUCCUCUGGGAAAGUGUCUUUGUGUAGUUUGUCUUGCACAGAAAGCUUGUUCAUCUAUUUCAUCCCCUAUCUUACUUCACUUUUGACAGGAGCUCACAUUGGUCCUGAGCCUACAACCGAUCGAUUUGUCGUUGUUAUGGUAAUUGUCAAUUUAUAUCCUUUUAUGUUGUCAUUAAGACAGUCUUGAAUUGCUUAGCAAUUAAAAGUUAAAGUAAAUGUUUUAUAUGGUUGUAUGCAAGUUAAAAAGUAAUAUAAUAAGGCUUUACAGGGACUCAGUAAGAAUAUAGAAACUAAGCUUCUUACACAAAUAGCCAUCCAUGACUUGCCUUAAUGGCACUUCCAACCCUCUCUAACCCCUAGGGGAUAGUGCCCAGUUUCUCUCCCAGGCAAAAAUCAACUGGCCUAGUCCCUAAGGAAUAUAACGCAAGGCUGACGUUAGUCGGGUCUCAAUUUCUAUUUUUUUUUUUUUUUUUUUUUGCGCCAAGCAAGUAGAAAACAAGUGCGUGCUUCCCAUAGCCUGCAGCUUGUGUGGCAACAGUACUAAUGAGGUCGAAUCAAUCUAGAAAUGUUAUCGUUAGCCAUGUGUCAAAAUCUAAAAAUGUUUUUCAGUUUUAAAAAAAAUAUGACAAAAAAUCAGAAAUGUUAUAGUUGGGCCAUGUGUCAAAAUCUGGGUUGUUGUAUUUCAAUUUUUUUGUAAUCCAACAAUCUAGAUUAACUAAGUUAAUAAAAAAAUACAUAAAAAAAAUUGUAUUUUUUUUAAUAAAAACCUAACCAUUAUCUUCUACCUUACACCACAUUUCAAUAUUUUCAAAUACUUUCAACCAAUCUCUCUCAAAGUUUUCAUAAAUACACCAAAUAAACUUAAAACUCUAUCCACAAAAAUUGUACCUUUUGGAAAAUUACACAUGGUUUGACGAGAUUAGUUGAAAAUACGAAUUGUCUAGGGUAUUCAUAGAAGAGAAUACCCUAGACAAUAGGGCAGUUGUUACUAUUCACUUAGGGGUGGAGAUACAAUAGAGCAGCUGUUACUAUUCAUUUAGGGGGAUUGAACUGCCUAUUGGCCAUGGGGCUUUUUAGUGGUGGAAGUGCUCUAAACUUUUGUGUUUUGAUUUAAAGAAACCUUUCCUUUAUAUUUAUGUGUCGUCCUUUUUAGUAAUUAUCAGUAGGGGUUUAUAUCCCUUAACAUUUCCAUUAAAAAACUAAGGAAAACUAAUAAAAAAAUGCUUGAAAACUUUAGAGUUUUAAUGAUAAGGACAAAAUAAAGGGUAAAGUGAAUAGUACCAGGAUUGACUUUUUAGUAUAAAAAUGUGAUUUUUCGGUAAAGUGAGGCUUUUCGUUAAAACUCCCAAACUAGGGUGGGUUGGCACAUUUUGAAAAUGUAACUUUGCAUUUUGGCCUAUAUAUUAGAGACUUGUAUUUUAAAUUUCAAUAGAAAAAGUUGUAUUUUGUCUGGUUUCUAUUGGUUGAAAUAGUCUCUCAUAUCAGUCAUGAGCCAGGAAUUUGGAAGGCAGAUUGCAGUGUAGCGUGGCAGAAUGCCAAGAGUCUGGAUAGGGUACUAAGCUUAUUAUUAGCCUAGUUCUAGGAAUUUGGAGACAAACUGAGGGACAUUUUGUGUUUGUGGUCAUUGAUCAAUAAAACAAUUAACAAUAUUUCUUGCAUCUCUUGGAAAUGCUUCUGCGACGCUUAGCAGUUGUACAUGUGCAUUUUCCUUUUUGCUUUUUGGGUGUCACUAGUACAAAAAACAUGAUGUCUUAGAGAGAUUUCUUCAUUUGUUACCUUAUAUUUCUUAAGAAAGUUGAUAGGGUUAGUGUUAAGAUAUAUAUUCUGUUGCUGUUUGUAGACAUUAAACUUUUCCAAAUUCCAUUUGCAGUUUUUUGUUUUCUGUUAAUGCUUCUGAAAUUAUUAUUGUUUACUAGCUAAUUCUUCUUGCAUGUAGUCUGGGCCUGAUGAAAGAAGUAUUCCUGGGAAUACUAUUGCCGUCCAAGCUGAUAUGCCAUUUAGCGGUCUUACAACUUUUGGAACAGCUUUCUUGUCAAAGUUUGAGUGUGCUCAAAUGCCACAUUCUGUGAGUUGUCUUUCAGAAUCACCUUGAAAUUCUCCAAAUUGUCUACUGAAACACCCAAAGCUUACACAUUUUUAUAUCCAAGCUGCUAGAACACAUUACUAUUGUGGAUACUCCUGGAGUUUUAUCUGGAGAGAAGCAACGGACGCAAAGAGCCUAUGAUUUUAAUGGGGUAACUUCGUGGUUUGCUGCGAAGUGUGACCUCAUUCUACUUCUGUUUGAUCCUCACAAACUUGAUGUUAGUGAUGAGUACAAGCGUGUUAUUUCAUCUUUACAUGGCCAUGACGAUAAAAUUCGUGUUGUUCUGAACAAGGCAGAUCAAAGUGAUACUCAACAAGUAAGCAUAGGCAAUACAUGGAUCUCUUUGAUUAUUUUCCCUCUACAUAUUUUUGUGGGAAUUUAAUUAGGUCAUUGGAUGUUACGCUCAAAUCAUUUUUCAUUCUUGGUAUGCAGUUGAUGAGGGUUUAUGGAGCGUUGAUGUGGUCACUUGGGAGGGUUUUUAAUACUCCCGAGGUCAUGCGAGUUUAUAUCGGGUAGCCUCUCCAUCCUUGCAUUCAUUAAUUCCUUGGAAGCAAAUCCUAUAGUUUCAAAUAUAUUCCAAUGUUUCCUAGCAAAUACCGUGGUUCGAUCCUGGCAAGCUAAGUUUCCCUUUUGCAGCUCAUUCAAUGACAAACCUGUAAAUGAGGCUGCUACGGGUCCAGUCGGGAAAGAACUCUUUGAAAAGGAACUGGGAGAUCUUCUGUCUGAUUUAAACGAUAUUCCAAAGAAGGCUUGUGAGCGCAAAGUGAGUUUGCUAUAUUUACGUAUCUCGAAUCUUUACUUUACCAAGAUGCUCUCUGGUUUUAUUUGCAAACUUAUAAACUUCUUGUAGAGGUGAUAUUAGGUUAAGGCCCCUUAUUUAAACUGAAUGUUUCUUGCAGAUUCCUAUGGAAUGGAAUUUUGAUGACCUUUGUUUUUCGCAGAUCAACGAAUUUGUGAAGCGUGCCAGAGCUGCCAAGAUACAUGCAUGCAUAAUUAGCCAUUUAAAGGCGGAGAUGCCUGCCAUGUUUUGGAAAUCUACGGCUCAACAGAAGCUUAUUGAUAAUUUGGAAGACGAAUUUAAAAAGGUACCAUUCCCUCCCUCCCCUGCGUAUGCGCACUCUCUACUCUAUAUUGCUUACACUUGACGUACUAUACAGGUUCAGGGGGAGCACCAUCUACCUCCAGGGGAUUUCCCGGACGUAAACCGCUACAGGGACAUCUUGAGUGGUUACAGCAUUGACAACUUCGAGAAGUUAAAACCUAAGAUGAUAGAUGCCGUCGAUGAAAUGCUGGGUUAUGAUAUCCCGGAACUCUUGAAGAAAUUCAAAAAUCCAUACGACUAAUGGGGGCAAACAGUUCUGAGAAGUAUCAUGAACUAUGGUGGCUUUGAAAUGUAUAUGUUGAUGGAGCAUUGCUCUUCUUGAGCACUUGGUGUUUGUUGUAGCAUAUUAUGGUUUCAACUCGUAUUAUAGUUCCGGGAUUUAGAUAUUGUCAAUCGCUAUAGAAGGUUUCUCAGGCAGGCGCGGAGAGAUUUUUCAAAAUGCUAGGAACACGGGAUGGUAUACCACAUGUCUCGAUACAAGUGGUAAGAUUCUUGUGUUAAAAAAUUAAUAAUAUAAAAAAUAAAAUUUAUCAUCGCUUAUAUAGUAGCACAUGAUGUAUCACUUGUGUUAUCAGCACAAAGGAAAAAUUUAUCGCAGGCUCCUUAUGGAAUGUCAAUUUUAUUGGGAAGUGAUUUCGUAUCAAGGGCAGUCUAGACAAUGUCUUUUUGUAAACUGGAGGUGAGGAUUGAGAGGUGAUCGGUAAGUUGCGUAAGAAUAUUAAGGGGGCCUCAACAUGCCGUGUCUCAGUUUUAACAGUUUUAUUGACGGAUUUGACGGAAAAUGGUAUUGACAAUAAAAAAUAGAGUUUCCGGGUGUAAAGUGACGAAAAUUGGAUUUCAAGGAAUAAAAUCAGUCCAAAAUCAAUUUCUUGAGGGAAUCUUUUUCACUUGCAAAAGUAGCGAUAAAAACACUUAAAAUACUUGCAAGAGAGCAAUGUAAUUCUAGUAUAAAUAACUCAAGCAAGAUGGUUGUAACAACCCAUCCUUAAUUUUAUGAUUUUAUUAAUUUUAAAAUAGUAAAUUGACAAAAAUGCCCUACAUGCGAGAUUGUUGACUCUCAUAGACCUUCAUUUUGUGACGCGUAUGAGCUAUUAUUUUACCGUAUUCUCGAAUUACUCGACGGUACGAACGCACAGGCACAAACGGAAUGGACAUCGGAGUUACGACGAAAAUUUUAUGAAAUUACGAAUCAUAAAGAUAUUUUGUAAAAUUACUAUUUUAAUUAUUUAAUUAUUAUAUUAAUUUUUUAGGUAGGAUAUUUUUUUUGGUGGCCACUAGGGCCCACAAUCUCUCUCUCUCUCUCCCGUCUCCCUCACCUCUCGGUUCAAUCUCUUUUCUCACCUUCACUUCUCUCCCACUCUCUCUUUCUAAAUUUCUCCAUGUGCACACAAGGUGCACAAAUUUCAGACCACCACCAUCCAAACUAGGGGCACCACAAGCUUUAUCUCGUCCUCACGAGCAUAGAACACCCAACCUCACCUCGAACUUCCUUCCAGGUCGUCAGGAUCGAAACUUAAUCGGACCGUGACUUUUUCGGUCGAUCCAUGGCGUGUUAGCAGUCACUAAAGGUACCAUUCUCUUCAUCUCGUUGAGAGGUAUGAUUUUCGUUUUGAAUCACCCAAUUUCGUUGAGUAUGGAAGAAGUUAUAACCAUUUGAACUUUCCCAGUUUCUGGCGACCUCCGCACCUUUAUAAGAGUUUUUCGGCCAUAUCCAGACACUUUUUGAACUCCAAACAGAUUUAAUCUUGUUCUACACAUCCCUAUCUUCGUUUUGAUAUAUUAUGGGUCAAAUUUGGUUAAGAAACAACGAAGUUAUGAAGCUUUGAAAAUUAUCCAAAUUUUUUACCAAAAAACCUAGUUUCCGGUGAGUUUUCCGACUAACCAAUUUGACUCGACCCGGAUCCAUUUCUGAAAUUGGAGGGGAAUAUUCCGUUAAAGUUAACCGUUGACCGUUAGUUGACUUUUGUUGACUUUUUUGGAAUUUUCUCGGAAACCCUCCUAGGCUAAUUUCGAUGCCCUCGAGUCCGUUUUUAGCAUCCAUGUAGUGAAAUUUCAAAAUUUUAAUGUAGUUGACAGCCGGGCCAGCUCAGUUGACAUUUUAGUUGGUCGUUGACUUUUUACAAAAUUUGCCGAGGACCCUCCUUAGGGUAUUUCGACACCCUGAUUUCAAAUCCACACUUUGUUUUCCCAAAUUUAAUCGUUUUAGUUGAGUUUUACUAAUGGCUUCCAAUAUUAUGCUUCAAUGCGAUUACUAUUGAAGACUCCGGUUUUCCUCUCUUGAACGGAUGUGAUCUCGCAAAUAAUUGUGAGUGGAUCUUUGCUUUUAAUUAUCUCAUAUUUAUUUAGUUUUCAUAUAUAUUUAAUAAAUAAUUUUUUACGUUAUGUCUAGAUUAGACUAACGUUUAUAAGACUUAGUGGAUUGAUGGAAUUCAUGAAAUAAUCCUACGAGAUGCACAAGUAUGCGUACUAUUAUAGGAUGCAUUAAUUAUACUUAUGGCCAUGAAUAAUGUUAUAUUGACUAGAAUUAUCAAAUUACUAUGGCAUGAUUAUACUUGUGAAAUCCUGUUCUUGGAUUUCAUUGUUAUAAUCUACGUAUUUGUAUUAUUUAGAUUUUAUAUUAUUUCUCGAGAACUUAUUUUAAUUUGUUUGAAUUUAGAUUUUAAUUAAACCAGUUACGAAGUUUGAAGUUUGGAAAUUAAUUAUUUAAAAAUAUGUAGACCUUUUGAGGUCACAAUUUAUAUUUUUGAAUAGAUCUUGAAACCACGAAUGUUUAGGGAAAAGUCGUUUGCGAGUCCGGAUUAUAACGAUAUAAUUACAGACAUUUUAGUAAAUUCAAGUGGAACUUUCUGGAAGCCAAGGACUUCCUUUUUCUUCUUUCCUGCGUGAAAAACCAAGGGGGCUGCUGAUUCUUCUACCCUAUAAUUCUCCUUCACUCCAAAAAAUUUCAUGGAAUCAUAACUUUCUCGUACGGCAACGAAAUCAUGCACAGUCGAAGCUUAUGUAUUCGUAGCGAAGCGCUCUUCAAAUUGAUACCAAACCCAUAUGCUGGAACCAAACGUGCCCAUAUUUUGAAGCCUAGAAGCUUCAACGGCUUUUAUGGUUUUUUUGCCGAUUUCGGCUAACCUCGCCGGAGAUAGGUCCUGACCCAAGAGGGAAUAAUACUCCUCUCUUCAUGUGCUUCCAGGAUAUGUAAGUGGAUCUUCUGAAUUUCAAGUUUUAUUUUCCCACAAGUUUGAGAUUUAUGUGUUUAACUUGAAUUUCUGGUGUUCUUGAUGGGGAGUUGUGGUGGUAACAUUGAUUCAAGAGCUUAGUAGCUAAGUGGAGAUUGAUGAACGACUUUGGAGGGCAGGACAAGAACAAAAAAUGGUACAUACUUUAAUUUUAUUGAAUUGUUUGUAGUCUUUGGCUAAAAGAUGAAGAAUUAAGCAUGUUAUAGGUAAGCUAACACAUUGAAAUAGAAGUUGAAUAUGAUUCCUGGAUAGUUUGGGAUUGUCCUGAAAUUGUAAAUUGGAUUAAACUAGUAUGGGUUUUACAUUGCAGAAAACUUAUUCAUUUUGCAAAGGGAAACUAUGUUUCAAUUAGCCUACUUUGGCUCUUGAUUUCUAUGUCCUUGUGAGCUCUUUUGAACUAAUAUUGUGUGUUUUGAAAAUAGACAUGUCCAUGAUCAAAACCCAUCUGAUUUCACUUAAUUCCAUUGAGUUUUGGUUGACCAAAACUAUGAUCAAAUUUGACUCACUAAGCGGCCAGACAGCAAGUUCUACAUUUCUAGUUUUGGGAUCCAUUUUAUAAUUGGCAUUACUUCCAAUUUAGAGCUCUGUUUUCUACCAACAUUAUGUGGUUAUAAAUUAUACAAAACAUGUCUCCAAAAACAUUUAAGUUCAUACCAUUUAGUUCAGGAUUGAGCUUUCAAAAGUGAAUUUCAAUUUGGUUGAUCAAAGGAGUUUUUAUGCAGCUUGUGUGGAGGAGUAUUGUUUCUUUAGUACUCAAUCAUUCUCCUAUUUUUCUUUAAAUUACUUUUGAUUUAUACUAGUGUCGUUAUUUGAAGUAUAAGUUGCACUAAAAUAAUGUCUAAGCUACACAAGUUAAUAAUUUGUAAUUACUCGCUUCCAUGCUUGCUAAUAUGCAUUUACUUGUGUUUGUUUUCAUUUGUUCAUGUGUUUGUAAAUUGGUUUAGUUGUUGUGCUGGAAAGUUUGGAGGACUUGUGUUGACAAAGAUAGUCGAACACGAGGUAGGAGGUUCUCGGGAAACUCCAUUAUAAGUAUUAUUCUUUAUUAUUUGUAUUAAUUUGGGAUCUAAAUAUUCUUUGAUAAUUAUUUGGAUAUGAUUGCCAACUGAAUACCUAUAUGAACUUAGCAUUACUACCUAGUGUGGGAUAGAGAUGAAAGUCAGAAGAUGAGUCAAGUACUUUAUUAGUUUUUAAGUAGAAAUAGUAAUUAAGGGAAUUUCUUGUGUUAUGCUCCAUAUGACUAGGUGCUUAGUUGAUACGUGGAAUCGAUAGCGUGUAUGCGUACAACUAUGUAUAAUGUGUGUUGAAUUUACUGCACCAUGUAGCAGUGGUACAUGGAUGGUCUUGCUUGGUUAAUCCGCAUUAGGGGACCAUACUAUAUAUGGAUCGCGCUUGGUUAAUCCGCGUUAGGGGACCAUAUGCAUUCUAGAAGUGAGGAGGAUUAGUUGUACUUGGUACAUUUGAUGGGGGAAUCAUAUGCUUGUUUGGAUUCCGUUGAGUGAUGGUCUAGAAUCGUAUCUAUAUGGAUUCCGUUGAGAGAUGGUUCGGAAUCAUUUCUACUCUGCGAUUCCGUUGAGUGAUGUUUUGAAAUCGUAUCUAACUUGGGUUUCAUUUAAUGGUGCUUAUGCAUUGUAAUCCGUGAUUCUGUUGAGUGAUGGUCCGGAAUCGUACCCACUUGGAUCCCAUUAUAAGGGUCCAAAAUCCCUUCUACUUUGCGAUUCCGUUGAGAGAUGGUCCGGGAUCAUGUUCACCUUAGGGUUUAUUGAAUUUGGAUUGAGAUAGGUUCAGAUAUGUAGACUUCGGCUGAACUGCGUCCCUCUAGCCCUAGUUUUUAAUGUACAUAUGAACGAUGAAUUUUGUGAAUCUUGUGGUUUGAAUUAAAAAGGUCGUUGGAUGUCUGGGUGACUCAUUUGGAGUUAUUAGAGACUUGACGAUGUAUUCAUAUUUACGAACUUAUAUUUGAGAUUUAUAAACUGUGAUCGAUGGCACUAAUUUUACAUGCAACAGGUCUGGGUAGAUUACGAGAAACCGAUUGAUAUUUUGGUUCCGUUGAGUGGUCCGGAACCCAACGUGGUGGGAUUCCAUUGAGUGGUCCGGAAUCCUUACUCUUGCACAUUUCCAAAAGGUUAGUCUAGAACCCUAGAUUCAAGUGAAUGGGAAUUAUUCACAUUAGACUUUGUGAAUAUAGAUUGUCGAACUGUUGCUCAUAACCCAAGUAGGGAAUUAUAUAGAGUUCUUUAAUUAAAUUCGUGAAAAGAUAUGUUAUCGUAUUGAUCGAUUAACGUAGUUAAAUGCUUAGAUCAUGCAUCCUUGUUUCAUGGAAUGGGUUACUUGAGGUGAUUGUGGAAUGAUGUUGAAUAUGAUUGUUAUUAAUACGAUUAGAUCAGUGAUCAUUGUGAAUUGAGAAUAAUAUUGUGCUUCAUUGGUUCUUUGAUAUGUUAUAUACUACGAUUUGCGGUAUUAUGUGAAACAUAAUGAUUUAUAUGAUGGAUGAAAUAGAAACCUUGAUUGUCAUGUGGGUUGUUAUGUAGCUUGAAUAGAAUAAUUCAUGCUUGUAAAGUCCAAAUGUUUGAUUGAGGAAUGUUAUGCCUUUUAGCUUGAACGGACCGUGUUAUAUGUCAAGUUAUAGCGAAGUUGAACUAUGAAUGGCUUGAUCCCUAUUGAUGAUACGUAGGCAAUCUAACGAAAAUGUUAGAUGCAGCCAUAAACUAUACGAAAAAUUUCUAUGCGAAUUCAACUCUUGAGUUGUGAUUUGCCAUAUUCCGGAGGCGGGGUAUGUUGGGAUACGAGUUUUUAGUGACGUCACAUGUCGAUACUGGACGUAUGUCGGGAUCGGGGCGUGACAAUACUUAUGUUACUACUCAUCAUAAAUGCUACACCCGGUGUUUGUACUUGCUCGGGCCAGGGCCAGAUUCAUGUGUAUGUUCACAUCGCACUAUUAUGCUCACUUUGGAUCUAUUGUAGGUGCUAGCCUGUACUAGACUGCAAUAGGCAACUAUAUCUUGUAUGUGACAAGCUUAGCGUCAACUUCACGUGAAUGUAGUACUAGAGCGUAGAUUCUUUUACAUCCAGCCUGUCCAUGUAGCUACUUCCUAUAUGGCUUGUGUUAUCAUAUUUUAAUGAGCACAUGAUAUUAUAUGUUAUUGUUGAGAUAUUGGGUUUUGGCAUACUGUUGGAAUACUUGCAUGAUUGCAUACCUAUAUGUAGUAUGAUUUUGAAAACUAUACUUACUUUACGGCAAGGGGUUAUUACAUUUUCAAAAAUAUUUUACAAAGCUUUAUUUUUAGGUUGGUCACCCUUAUUUUUCGCCCAUCCAGGUUUUAGUGGCAGAGUUUUCGUGUCGACGAUGAACCUUGGCAAAUGUUGGUGUAGGAGAUUACCUUUGAUGGUAUAAUUCUUAUUUUACCUCUACUGCACUUUACUUAUACUCUAACAUCACAGGUGAAUUGGGUUCAAUCCCACUCACAUGCGCACUCUUGGAUUUAGGCACUUUUAGGUUUAAAUUUACUCACAUUUUCCACAUCAUUACACUUUAUGGCUUCGUCACCCUCCUGGUGUCAACCAGCACAACUCGAUUCAGAGUCCAGGUAGACAUUUUGGGUUGAGGUGUGUCAUGGUUUUUCGUAGGGAUUAUUGAAACAAUUUAUGUUUCUAUUCUUAAUUAAUUGUUUGAAACAAAAUUUGGAAAAAGAUUUGAAAGAACAAAAACAAUUAAGUAAAAUCAAUUAAAGAAUUUGGCAAGAAUAAAGAAAUAAAAGAAAACGGUUUUGAAAGUUAAGUUUAAAAGGCACUAGGGUUUCACCGUCACCAUUAACAAUCAUAUGCAGUUCUAUAAAUUACUUAUGAAUUACCAUACACAUGCUUUGACAGUUAGGUUUUCGUAAUGCACAUUCUCCUCGUGAUGUUCAAGCAAGAAUGUAUAUCUAACAUACACAAUCUAUCUGUGAUGUUCAAAUCAAAUAUAAACAUGCAAGCUUUGAAAAACCAUGCAACUAUUAAAAGCAUGAUGUUCGCCUUAAGUGAAAUUACAAUUAUCAAUCACAAGAAAACUUCAGGGUGAUGUUCCAACAAAAAUUGCAUCAAAUUACUUGUCUAAACAUCAUAUUGGUCGCAAAUAAUUAAGACAAUUAGAUAGUUUCAAACACGAUGAUUAAUACUUCAAAAUAUUCAAGCAUGCAUAAUAUCAUAAGCAAAUUAAAAAGAAACUACAUAUUCUUGCUAAGGCCCAUGGGGCGUAGCUAAAAGUAAGAAAACUAAUAAUAAUACUGCAUGAUUUCCUUCCAUCAAUACGUUCAUGUUAUUUUCAUGUAUUUUCUUAUUCAAUAUGGUUCCUUUUAAAGGAAAACUAAUGAAAAUGAUUUGAAAACUUUGAGUUUUAAUGAUAAGGACAAAAUAAAGGGUAAAGUGAAUAGUAUCAAGAUUGACUUUUUAGUGUAAAAAUAUGGUUUUUCGUUAAAGUGAACAGUACCAGAUGCUUUUCGUUAAAGUUCCCUUAUUAAAUGUGUAAGAUAGUUGUAAGGAUCAUGUAGGACUAUUCUAUAAAAUACUAUAAGCAACAACAUAGGUAGAUUUAUUAUGAUUCAAAUUGGUUUUAUUUUUAUCUGAUAACAAACUUCAUUUGCUAAUAUUAUUGCUCGAUGAUUUUAUCUAUUACUGCUCUCUAACACUAUGGAACAAAUAAAAUUAAAGAUACCGGAUUAUAGUUGUCUAAGGGCUCCGAACCAGAUUGGGUAUAUACUUGUAAAGACAGCCUGCUUUGUCCUCCAGUCUAAUUAUAAUCCAAAAAACUUGUUUCUCUCUAUAUGCCUCACAGCUGCAUGCUACAAUCGGGAGUUUGGGGAUUCAAGGUACCUUAGAGCAUUUCAACAAGUUGGUGGAAGGCAAUAGUAAUUGGAGGGCAAUGACAAUAAAAUUGUCCUUACUAUUCACUGAAAACAGUAAUUGCUUUUGUACAAGUCCAUCCCGUUUGAAAGAAAGGGCAAGUUUUGGUCAUGGUUAGCUGAAUAUGGUGAAUUCAACGCAUGCCUUUUGGAGCUGGCAUAGGAAUGAUGAUGAUGAGCCUGUUAGGUCCCAUCGGGCCAUCAGGUCUGGAUAAUCUCGUUGGUUAGUUCGGGAUGUGUUGCUGAGAAGACACACGAAGUAAGGAAGAUACUUACAGAACCAUAGAACUUAUAAUCACAUGAAGUUUAUCAAAUCAAGGUUUGUAUAUUUAAACACCAGUUAAGAAAACGAUUCUGC
rnacentral:lncRNA from 1 species